rnacentral:rRNA from 1 species
CACGUAGUUAGCCGGCGCUUCUUCACCGGGUACCCUCAACCCCACCACCAAGCAGAGCCUUGUCCCCCGACGAAAGAGGUUUACAACCCGAAAGCCGUCAUCCCCCACGCGGCGUCGCUGCAUCAGGCUUGCGCCCAUUGUGCAAUAUCCCCCCACUGCUGCCUCCCGUAGGAGUCUGGGCCGUAUCUCAGUCCCAGUGUGGCCGGUCACCCUCUCAGGCCGGCUACCCGUCGACGCCUUGGUAGGCCAUCACCCCACCAACAAGCUGAUAGGCCGCGAGCCCAUCCCCCACCGAAAAAACCUUUCCCCACCCAGCCAUGCGACCAGACAGGAAUAUCCAGUAUUAGACCCCGUUUCCAAGGCUUAUCCCAAAGAAGAGGGCAGGUUACUCACGUAUUACUCACCCGUCCGCCACUAACCCCACCCAGCCACACACGCCAGACAGACGCCCGUUCGACUUGCAUGUGUUAAGCACGCCGCCAGCGUCGUACCUGACGCCGAGGACAC